GGAAGGCUCGGGAUGGGAAGAGCGAGGGGUGGCAGGAGGGUCACUUAGCCCGUCCCCACCAUGCCCACCAGGUUCUGUGAAGAACGACAGGCUUGGGGGCAAUGGACAGCCUAGAGGGUGAAGGUGACAGGCUCCGGAGAGUGAGACUCCAGCCCCAGACAGGAGGGAAAAGACAAGAAAAUCUGCCCAAAUUUCACCGUGGACCCUGAAGAGGAGGGGAAGGGGGAGACUCACCCAGGACGGUCAGCUUGGUCCCUCCGCCGAACGGAUAACACACGUAACCACUUUCAUAUGAAAUACAGUAAUAAACGGCCUCGUCCUCAGCCUGGAGCCCAGAGAUGGUCAGGGAGGCCGUGUUGCCAGACUUGGAGCCAGAGAAGCGAUCAGGGAUCCCUGAAGGCCGUUUAUU